rnacentral:lncRNA from 1 species
AGAUCAGGGCAUGUAUUUGUAGUAGUAUACUCCGUGUUACUAAUAGUAGCAGAAUUCCACUACUAUCAAUGGACUUUUGACUGUUUAGAAGUAUAUCGGUGAUGGCAAUGAAUUCAUGAAAAAAUAGCAAUAUUUUGGACAUUUGGAUAUGGAACUUCAAUUAUAUGUACUUAUACAGGGUGUCUCACAAAGAACCGAACAUAGAGGGGGUUAAGGUCCGAAGGAUCGCUGUUUGCGCAGGUCCAUUAUGUGGUGCGGGCGAAGUGAUGCUCUGCCGUGGGGAGGGGGACAGGCGAUGCGUUCUUGCAUGGAACGCAUCGCUUGUUUCGAUGUCGAUGCUAGCGAUGUGGUGGUCGAUAUCGAUGCUGGAUGUUUCAUGCGUUUAUUCGCACUUACAUAGUGCGAAUAAACGCAUGAAACAUCGCUAGCAUCGAUAUCUA